rnacentral:tRNA from 1 species
GAGAGUAUAGCUCAGUGGUAGAGUGUGUGCUUGGCAUGCACAAGGUCCUGGGUUCAAUCCCCAGUACCUCCA